rnacentral:rRNA from 1 species
ACGCUCGACACCUACGGUAGGCAGCAGUGGGGAAUAUUGCACAAUGGGGGAAACCCUGAUGCAGCGACGCCGCGUGAGCGAAGAAGUAUUUCGGUAUGUAAAGCUCUAUCAGCAGGGAAGAAACUGACGGUACCUGACUAAGAAGCACCGGCUAAAUACGUGCCAGCAGCCGUGGUAAUCUGAGCGGGCUGGCAAGGC